rnacentral:rRNA from 1 species
GGCCCUACGGGACGCAGCAGUGAGGAAUAUUGGUCAAUGGCCGAGAGGCUGAACCAGCCAAGUCGCGUGAGGGAUGACGGCCAUACGGGUUGUAAACCUCUUUUGUCGGGGAGCAAGACCCGCCUCGUGCAGGCGGAGCGAGAGUACCCGAAGAAAAAGCAUCGGCUAACUCCGUGCCAGCAGCCGCGGUAAUACGGAGGAUGCGAGCGUUAUCCGGAUUUAUUGGGUUUAAAGGGUGCGCCGGCGGACCAUCAAGUCAGCGGUAAAAUCGUGGGGCCCAACCCCACCCCGCAGUUGACACUGGG